rnacentral:rRNA from 1 species
GAUGAACGCUAGCUACAGGCUUAACACAUGCAAGUCGAGGGGCAGCAGGGAUUUAGCUUGCUAAAUCCGCUGGCGACCGGCGCACGGGUGCGUAACGCGUAUCCAACUUUCCCGUUACUCAGGGAUAGCCUUCCGAAAGGGAGAUUAAUACCUGAUGGUGUUUGAAGUUCGCAUGUUCUUCAAACUAAAGAUUUAUCGGUAACGGAUAGGGAUGCGUGACAUUAGAUAGUAGGCGGGGUAACGGCCCACCUAGUCUACGAUGUCUAGGGGUUCUGAGAGGAAGGUCCCCCACACUGGAACUGAGACACGGUCCAG